GUAGUGGUAGUUCAGCAGUAGAAUUCUUGCCUUCCAUGUGGGAGACCCAGGUUCAAUUCCCUGCCAAUAUA
rnacentral:tRNA from 1 species